AUUGAACGCUGGCGGCAUGCUUUACACAUGCAAGUCGAACGGUAACAGGCCUUCGGGUGCUGACGAGUGGCGAACGGGUGAGUAAUGCAUCGGAACGUACCCAGAGGUGGGGGAUAACGCAGCGAAAGCUGUGCUAAUACCGCAUGUGAUCUGAGGAUGAAAGCGGGGGACCGAGCAGCAAUGUUUGGCCUCGCGCCUUUGGAGCGGCCGAUGUCGGAUUAGCUAGUUGGUGGGGUAAAGGCCUACCAAGGCGACGAUCCGUAGCUGGUCUGAGAGGACGACCAGCCACACUGGGACUGAGACACGGCCCAGACUCCUACGGGAGGCAGCAGUGGGGAAUUUUGGACAAUGGGCGCAAGCCUGAUCCAGCAAUGCCGCGUGCGGGAAGAAGGCCUUCGGGUUGUAAACCUCUUUUGGCAGGAACGAAACGGUGUCCGCUAAUACCGGGCGCUAAUGACGGUACCUGCAGAAUAAGCACCGGCUAACUACGUG
rnacentral:rRNA from 1 species